rnacentral:rRNA from 1 species
UACGUAGGGUGCAAGCGUUAUCCGGAAUUAUUGGGCGUAAAGAGCUCGUAGGCGGUUUGUCGCGUCUGCUGUGAAAACUGGGGGCUCAACUCCCAGCCUGCAGUGGGUACGGGCAGACUAGAGUGCGGUAGGGGAGAUUGGAAUUCCUGGUGUAGCGGUGGAAUGCGUAGAUAUCAGGAGGAACACCGAUGGCGAAGGCAGAUCUCUGGGCCGUAACUGACGCUGAGGAGCGAAAGCAUGGGGAGCGAACAGG